rnacentral:rRNA from 1 species
UACGUAGGGGGCAAGCGUUGUCCGGAUUCAUUGGGCGUAAAGAGCUCGUAGGCGGUUCGGCAAGUCGGGUGUGAAAACUCCAGGCUCAACCUGGAGACGCCACCCGAUACUGCUGUGACUCGAGUCCGGUAGGGGACCACGGAAUUCCUGGUGUAGCGGUGAAUGCGCAGAUAUACAGGAGGAACACCGGUGGCGAAGGCGGUGGUCUGGGCCGGAACUGACGCUGAGGAGCGAAAGCGUGGGGAGCGAACAGG